ensembl:lncRNA
AUGGCAAAAUCGGAGAAACCCCAUGAUCUCUACCUCACAUGCAACGAGCACAGCCUUUUGGACCAGUUAUGCUCUUGCACUGCCGGUUCACCAGGUUUUUGCUCUCACAUUGUGGGCCUUAUGUACACCCUGGACCUGUGCCGUGCCAGACAUAAUGACAUCUCCUCCACAAGCCAGCCUCAGCAGUGGCACAAAGCCAGGGGUAAAAAAAUAACUGGACAACCUGUGAGCAGUGUGGUGGUAGCCAAGGCCAAAGUCAACCGCAAGCGGAAACCCAUCAUGUCCAGCUAUAUCCACAAUAAGAAAGAGUUAGGGACAGCAGUGUAUGGUCUACUGAGGGAGAUGUCAGAUGCACCUAUAAGCUACAUUGCUGAUGAAACUGCACCUGAGGUAGAAGUUGGAGGCAGGAAGUAUGCAGUGGUGUGCGGUCUAAGCCACCAGGUGAGAUUUUAUUAAAGUUUCAUUAAAAUUUGACAUUUACAAAUUCUAAAUUGUGCUUACAAUGUAAAAAAAGGAAAAUUGGGCUGACAUAUUAUAUACACCUACACAUAAAAACAUGAAACAAGGAUUUCUAUAGCACCUUCCACAGCUCAGGCUGACAAAAUGCCCCACAGUGGUGAGUAAAAAUAACAGGUUAAAGCAGUAAUAAUGUCAUGUAGUAAUACUUUGUAUUUGUUGCCAUGUGAUGCUACGACUGUCCCAGACUGUCCCUUACUUAAGUAUGUGUGGCUGGAAGUUUGAAAGCAUGCUCACCACAUACCAGAUGUGAUUUAUAAUCCCUAACCUUGUAUUAGGAAUUUUGUCUGACACCAUCUUGAACUUUUUUAUUUUACCGAUGGCCCUCUCUACGUGCACCCUGUGCUUUGCAAUGCGCUUUGUCACCAGCACAUCUUCAGCGGGCAUUUGCCUCUUAAAUCUCGAAAACGGUGGCAGGUUUAACUGCAGUCCGACUGCUCGCAUCUCUUCCUCGUUAAAGAAGCCCUUAUCAGCCAUUAUGCCAUCCCCUCUUUGCAAAUAGCCACUCUCUAUAAGUUGCUCUAGUAACGGGAUGAUACCACAUUGCCUGACUAUCUCCUUAUCGGACAUGGAUCCUGUGAAGAGGGCAGAUGAAAAAAUCACAGCACCACGGGGGUCACAGGCAACUAGCGAUUUUAGGGUGUUUGUGCUUUUGUAGUUUGAAAAGCUCUGGCUUUGCAACACCAGUGACGUUGGCCUUUCGAUUUUCAGCUCUGUACAAUCUAAUAUUGCAAAUGUGGAUGGGUAGUCUUCUUUGUAGGUUUCUGGCAUGUUUUGUGCAAUGACAUCUCUGUGAGGCCAAAUUGGUAAUUCACCUAAUACGUCAAACAUAUAAUGAAUCCAGGAAUUGAAAAUAGUACUUGCUGUUUGCGUGGUUAGAUUAAAUCUAAAGGCAAGGUUCUUUAGGUCUUCGUUGUUGCGGAGUUUCAUUAAAACAAACAGCAACUGGCUACGGAGGGGCAUCUCAGCAACUUACCAAUUGCGCUUGUAGUUUAAGGGCACAUUUAUUUGAGUGGUGUGUGGAUCAUUUGGGAUGCCAAAUAUUGUGCACAGUUGGUUGAAUCGAUCAUAUGUAAACCCAGUACUGUAUUCCAACAUUUUAGGGAUUUCACUGCUUUCAAGUAGUUCAGGUGUUAGAGUUUUCUUUUUAAGUGUGCUAAUUUGUGCUUUCAGCCUUUCUAUUUCAGUUUCCUUUAAAGACAAUUUCAAUUUCAUGUUGUUGUUUUCUUCUUCUAAUUUCUUCUCCUUUUCAGUGCUCUGCUCCUCCUCAGGCUCCCUUUCUAGCUGGUGUAGCGGUUGCGUACUCUCUCGUUGCGUUGUGAUUGAGACCACGAUGGAACCAUUGGCAGCCAGCCGUUUAUUCUGGUGGAAUAUUAACAUGGGAAAUGCUCUUUGAGAACCCUCACAAUGGCAGCCUCUCCCAGCCGGGGUAUACGUAGACUAGCCAUUUACAUGGGAAUAAAUAUCACAUUAAAUAUCACAUUAAACAAAUUAAUAUUUGAAUGGGCGUUUGGUGACAUACCUGGUGGAAUAUUAACAUGGGAAAUGCUCUUUGAGAACCCUCACAAUGGCAGCCUAACAUGAGACAAAGACAAGCUGAAGUACACAUUCUUGGCGAAGUCCACGCUAGCUAAGUAGCUACGACCAAAGCACAUGGUAGCCAAGCUAGCGAUCCUAAGCCUAAAGUCCAUUUAAAUGUAAUUACAGAUUCCAAGGAACACAAUAUAUAUGUACA